UACGGAGGGUGCAAGCGUUAAUCGGAAUUACUGGUCGUAAAGCGUGCGCAGGCGGUUUGUUAAGUCUGCUGUGAAAUCCCCGAGCUCAACUUGGGAAUUGCAGUGGAUACUGGCAAGCUGGAGUACGGUAGAGGAAGGUGGAAUUCCCGGUGUAGCAGUGAAAUGCGUAGAGAUCGGGAGGAACACCAGUGGCGAAGGCGGCCUUCUGGACCAGUACUGACGCUCAUGCACGAAAGCGUGGGGAGCAAACAGG
rnacentral:rRNA from 1 species